UCUCAAAUGGUGGAUGAUGUGAAAAAGAAUUUAGAUGAACAACGCCACAUAUGGAGCACUAAAGGUUGCACCAUCAUGAUUGAUGGUUGGAUGGAUAGGAGAAAUAGAACUCUCCUUAAUUUUCUUGUUUCUUCCGCAGGGGGCACCGUUUUCAUCAAGUCCAUUGAUGCCUCCGCCCAUUGCAAGAAUGCCACCUACCUAUGUGAGCAGAUAGAGGAGGUGAUUGAAGAUGUGGGUGAGGAGAACGUGGUAUAGGUGGUGACCGACAAUGCAGCAAAUUAUGUUGCUGCGGGUAGACUAUUGAUGGAGAGGCACCCAUCUAUAGUUUGGACUCCAUGUGCUGCUCAUUGCAUUGACCUCAUGUUGGAGGAUAUUGGAAAAAUCCCAUGGGUCAAGAAAUGUGUAGAAAGGGCAAGAAAUGUCUGCAAAUUUGUAUAUAAUCAUUCAUGGGUGUUGGCUCUUAUGAGACAAUACACAGAGCAGAAGGAGUUGCAUCGUCCAGGAAUCACAAGAUU